rnacentral:rRNA from 1 species
UACGUAGGGUGCGAGCGUUGCCCGGAUUUAUUGGGCGUAAAGGGCGCGUAGGCGGCCACGCACGUCCGUUGUGAAAUCGCCCGGCUCAACUGGGCGGGGUCAGCGGAUACGGUGUGGCUCGAGCAAGCUAGGGGGCAAUGGAAUUCCCGGUGGAGCGGUGAAAUGUGUUGAUAUUGGAAGGAACACCGGAGGCGAAAGCGGUGUACUGGGGCUGGUCUGACGCUGAGGCACGAAAGCCAGGGGAGCGAACGGG